ACUGUGUGAAAGACAUGGGUAGUGAGAUUGUGACAUCUCAAGACUAUCCCGCUACCUUGUCUCUCAUCACAGC
ncrna:Patiria miniata microRNA pmi-mir-71 precursor